AUUGAACGCUGGCGGCAGGCUUAACACAUGCAAGUCGAACGAGUGGCGGACGGGUGAGUAAUGCUUGGGAAUCUAGCUUAUGGAGGGGGAUAACUACGGGACACUGUAGAUAAUACCGCAUACCAUCGGAUGAGCCCAAGGGGGAUUAGGUUGUUGGUGGGGUAAAGGCUCACCAAGGCGACGAGCUCUAGCUGGUCUGAGAGGAUGACCAGCCACACUGGGACUGCGCCACGGCCCAUACGCCUACGGGAGGCAGCAGUGGGGAAUAUUGCGAAAUGGGGGCAACCUGAUGCAGACAUGCCGCGUGAAUGAAGAAGGCCUUCGGGUUGUAAAGUUCUUUCGGGCGGGAGGCGUUAACCCCAGAAGAAGCACCGGCUAACUCCGUGCCAGCCGCCGCGGUAAUAC
rnacentral:rRNA from 1 species